UUAUUGUGAAAAAGAACAAGAAUAGCACCGCUUCCUGGUGACGUAAACACAGAACCAUGAAGGUACAAUUAUAAGCACUUAGUUUACAAUCGAUUUCUACAUAGCUACACCCGAAAGACAUCGGCGAAAUGUUCAAAGGGGGGGAACGUGGCUGGGUAUAGAGAACACAUUCGACGACAGAGGAGAGCGAAGUGCUGACGUUGCUGUGGAGGAGAAAAUUGUUCAAGACCAAAAUGAAGUAAACAAACAACACGAACCUCCAGCAACAGAAGAACUGGGGCAGGAGGACGGAGACACCGUCCAACUCAUCUUCUCAGCAGCUAAAGGAUUCGGUGGCUUAAUAUUCAACUUUGCAGCAAUGCCACCAAGAAGAUCUCCAACUCUGUGGCAGAGACUGCACCACACCAUCAAGAAGAGCGUGGAAGAAGGGAACAUAGAUGGAAUUUUGACAAGACUAUUUUGGGGGAUUUCAAAAAAAGAACAGGACAAAUUUGUCCAAGAAAAGAAAAGCUAAGAAAUCAGACACAGCUGUACCACCAUGGGUUGGCUACAGUGAGGAAGAGACCAUGCAGCAACAGA